GACGAGAUAGCCAAGUUUGGUUUAAGGCGACGGUCUGCAAAACCGUAAUCAUGGGUUCAAGCCCCAUUCUCGUCU
rnacentral:tRNA from 1 species